rnacentral:rRNA from 1 species
UAGGGUUUGAUUCCGGAGAGGGAGCCUGAGAAACGGCUACCAGUUCUAAGGAAGGCAGCAGGCGCGCAAAUUACCCAAUCCCGACACGGGGAGGUAGUGAACAGAAAUAACAAUAUAGGGCUUUUUCAAGUCUUGUAAUUGGAAUGAGAACAAUUUAAAAACCUUAUCGAGUAACAAUUGGAGGACAAGUCUGGUGCCAGCACCCGCGGUAACUCCAGCUCCAAUAGCGUAUAUUAAAGUUGUUGCAGUUAAAAAGCUCGUAGUCGAACUUUGGAGACGCGCAAUCGACUUUGCCUGCGGGUAAUGUUGAAUGCACGAUCUCUUCCUUUCGUGGACGUGGGUUGCGCUUAACUGUCGCGAUUCGCGGACUCGAAAACUUUACUUUGAAGAAAUUAGAGUGCUUAACACAAGCAAACGCUAUGAAUACACUAGCAUGAAAUAAUUAAAUAGACUUUGGUCUAUUUUGUUGGUUUUACGGCCAAAGUGAUGAUUAAUAGGGAUAGUCGGGGCGAUUGGUACUUCAAAGUCAGAGGUGAAAUUCUUGGAUUUUUGAAAGACCAACUUCUGCGAAAGCAUCUCGCAAGGAUGUUUUCAUUGAUCAAGAACGAAAGUUAGGGGAUCGAAGGCGAUUAGAAACCGCCCUAGUCCUAACCAUAAACGAUGCCGACUAGAAAUUGGAGGCAGUUAUUCUCAUGACUCCUUCAGCGCCUUAUGAGAAAUCAAAGUUUUUGGGUUCUGGGGGGAGUAUGGUCGCAAGGCUGAAACUUAAAGGAAUUGACGGAAAGGCACAACCAGGAGUGGAGCCUGCGGCUUAAUUUGACCCAACACGGGAAAACUCACCAGGGCAAGACGAAAUUAUGAUUGACAGAUUGAAAGCUCUUUCUUGAUUUUUCGGGUGGUGGUGCAUGGCCGUUCUUAGUUGGUGGAGUGAUUUGUCUGGUUAAUUCCGAUAACGAACGAGACCUCAGCCUGCUAAAUAGUCACACGAAUCCUGCGGGAUUAGUGGUAGACUUCUUAGAGGGACCAUCGAUAUUGAAUCGAAGGAAGAUUGAGGCAAUAACAGGUCUGUGAUGCCCUUAGAUGUCCUGGGCUGCACGCGCGCUACACUGGAGAAUUCAGCAAGUUUAACACCUUGGCCGACAGGUCUGGGUAAUCUUUUGAAAUUUCUCCGUGCUGGGGAUCGUUUCUUGCAAUUAUGAAACGUGAACGUGGAAUUCCUAGUAUGUCGAGUCAUCAGCUCGCGCAGAUUACGUCCCUGCCUUUUGUACACACCGCCCGUCGCUCCUACCGAUUGGAUAUUGAAGUGAAAUUUCUGGAGUGUGAUCAGCGAUCACUUCGGUGAAAGCGGAUUGCGCGAAGCUAAGUGAACUUUAAUAUCUAGAGGAAGGAGAAGUCGUAACAAGGUU